rnacentral:misc_RNA from 1 species
GAAAUGCGAUAAGUAGUGUGAAUUGCAGAAUUCAGUGAAUCAUCGAAUCUUUGAACGCACAUUGCGCCCCUUGGUAUUCCAUGGGGCAUGCCUGUUCGAGCGUCAUCUACACCCUCAAGCUCUGCUUGGUGUUGGGCGUCUUUGUCCCGCCUCCGCGCGCGGCCUCGCCCCAAAUUCAUUGGCAGCGGUCCUUGCCUCCUCUCGCGCAGCACAUUGCGCUUCUCGAGGUGUUGCGGCCCGCGUCCAGAAAGCAAUCGUUACCGUCUUUGACCUCGGAUCAGGUAGGGAUACCCGCUGAACUUAAGC